rnacentral:rRNA from 1 species
CGCGAAUGGCUCAUUAUAACAGCUAUAAUUUACUUGAUCUUGACACUAUCCUACUUGGAUAACUGUGGUAAUUCUAGAGCUAAUACAUGCAUUAAAGCUCUGACCUCACGGGUAAGAGUGCACUUAUUAGAACAAAACCAAGCGGCUUCGGCUGUUUUCGGUUGACUCAUAGUAACUGAGCUGAUCGCACGGUCUUGCACCGGCGACGUGUCUUUCAAGUAUCUGCCGUAUCAACUUUCGACGGUAGUGUAUCUGACUACCAUGGUGAUCACGCGUAACGGAGAAUAAGGGUUCGGCUCCGGAGAGUUCGCCUGAGAAAUCGCGAACACAUCUAAGGAAGGCAGCAGGCGCGAAAAUUACCCACUCUCAGCACGAGGAGGUAGUGACGAAAAAUAACGAGACCGUUCUCUCAUGAGGCCGGUCAUCGGAAUGGGUACAAUUUAAACCCUUUAACGAGUAUCUAUGAGAGGGCAAGUCUGGUGCCAGCAGCCGCGGUAAUUCCAGCU